rfam:Rhizophagus irregularis DAOM 181602 strain DAOM 197198 GLOINscaffold_5248_Cont5238, whole genome shotgun sequence.
AAAAGAUGAUCAAGAUGACGAGUCAGAAAAGAAAAAAAAUAUUUUCUUUAUUGUUGAUAGCUUUCAUUUUUACCAUUCAUGCCUAACUGAUG